GAUGAACGCUGGCGGCGUGCCUAAUACAUGCAAGUCGAGCGAAGCGGGGACGGGUGAGUAACACGUGGAUAACCUCCUAUAAGCCUGGGCUAACUUCGGGAAACCGGAGCUAAACCGGAUACUUAUCGAUGGAUCCGCGCUGCAUUAGCUUGUGGGUAAGGUAACGGCUUACCAAGGCCACGAUGCAUAGCCGACCUGAGAGGGGGAUCGGCCACACUGGAACUGAGACACGGGCCAGACUCCUACGGGAGGCAGCAGUAGGGAACCGUCCGCAAUGGGCGAAAGCCGGACGGAGCAACGCCGCGUGAGUGAUGAAGGUCUUCGGAUCGUAAAACUCUGUGAGUAGGGAAGCGGUACCGAAGCAGAAAGCCACGGCUAACUACGUGCCAGCAGCCGCGGUAAUUC
rnacentral:rRNA from 1 species